rnacentral:rRNA from 4 species
UUAAGCGACUAAGCGUACACGGUGGAUGCCCUGGCAGUCAGAGGCGAUGAAGGACGUGCUAAUCUGCGAUAAGCGUCGGUAAGGUGAUAUGAACCGUUAUAACCGGCGAUUUCCGAAUGGGGAAACCCAGUGUGAUUCGUCACACUAUCAUUAACUGAAUCCAUAGGUUAAUGAGGCGAACCGGGGGAACUGAAACAUCUAAGUACCCCGAGGAAAAGAAAUCAACCGAGAUUCCCCCAGUAGCGGCGAGCGAACGGGGAGGAGCCCAGAGCCUGAAUCAGUGUGUGUGUUAGUGGAAGCGUCUGGAAAGGCGCGCGAUACAGGGUGACAGCCCCGUACACAAAAAUGCACAUGCUGUGAGCUCGAUGAGUAGGGCGGGACACGUGGUAUCCUGUCUGAAUAUGGGGGGACCAUCCUCCAAGGCUAAAUACUCCUGACUGACCGAUAGUGAACCAGUACCGUGAGGGAAAGGCGAAAAGAACCCCGGCGAGGGGAGUGAAAAAGAACCUGAAACCGUGUACGUACAAGCAGUGGGAGCCUCUUUAUGGGGUGACUGCGUACCUUUUGUAUAAUGGGUCAGCGACUUAUAUUCUGUAGCAAGGUUAACCGAAUAGGGGAGCCGAAGGGAAACCGAGUCUUAACUGGGCGUUAAGUUGCAGGGUAUAGACCCGAAACCCGGUGAUCUAGCCAUGGGCAGGUUGAAGGUUGGGUAACACUAACUGGAGGACCGAACCGACUAAUGUUGAAAAAUUAGCGGAUGACUUGUGGCUGGGGGUGAAAGGCCAAUCAAACCGGGAGAUAGCUGGUUCUCCCCGAAAGCUAUUUAGGUAGCGCCUCGUGAACUCAUCUCCGGGGGUAGAGCACUGUUUCGGCAAGGGGGUCAUCCCGACUUACCAACCCGAUGCAAACUGCGAAUACCGGAGAAUGUUAUCACGGGAGACACACGGCGGGUGCUAACGUCCGUCGUGAAGAGGGAAACAACCCAGACCGCCAGCUAAGGUCCCAAAGUCAUGGUUAAGUGGGAAACGAUGUGGGAAGGCCCAGACAGCCAGGAUGUUGGCUUAGAAGCAGCCAUCAUUUAAAGAAAGCGUAAUAGCUCACUGGUCGAGUCGGCCUGCGCGGAAGAUGUAACGGGGCUAAACCAUGCACCGAAGCUGCGGCAGCGACGCUUAUGCGUUGUUGGGUAGGGGAGCGUUCUGUAAGCCUGCGAAGGUGUACUGUGAGGUAUGCUGGAGGUAUCAGAAGUGCGAAUGCUGACAUAAGUAACGAUAAAGCGGGUGAAAAGCCCGCUCGCCGGAAGACCAAGGGUUCCUGUCCAACGUUAAUCGGGGCAGGGUGAGUCGACCCCUAAGGCGAGGCCGAAAGGCGUAGUCGAUGGGAAACAGGUUAAUAUUCCUGUACUUGGUGUUACUGCGAAGGGGGGACGGAGAAGGCUAUGUUGGCCGGGCGACGGUUGUCCCGGUUUAAGCGUGUAGGCUGGUUUUCCAGGCAAAUCCGGAAAAUCAAGGCUGAGGCGUGAUGACGAGGCACUACGGUGCUGAAGCAACAAAUGCCCUGCUUCCAGGAAAAGCCUCUAAGCAUCAGGUAACAUCAAAUCGUACCCCAAACCGACACAGGUGGUCAGGUAGAGAAUACCAAGGCGCUUGAGAGAACUCGGGUGAAGGAACUAGGCAAAAUGGUGCCGUAACUUCGGGAGAAGGCACGCUGAUACGUAGGUGAAGUCCCUUGCGGAUGGAGCUGAAAUCAGUCGAAGAUACCAGCUGGCUGCAACUGUUUAUUAAAAACACAGCACUGUGCAAACACGAAAGUGGACGUAUACGGUGUGACGCCUGCCCGGUGCCGGAAGGUUAAUUGAUGGGGUUAGCGGUAACGCGAAGCUCUUGAUCGAAGCCCCGGUAAACGGCGGCCGUAACUAUAACGGUCCUAAGGUAGCGAAAUUCCUUGUCGGGUAAGUUCCGACCUGCACGAAUGGCGUAAUGAUGGCCAGGCUGUCUCCACCCGAGACUCAGUGAAAUUGAACUCGCUGUGAAGAUGCAGUGUACCCGCGGCAAGACGGAAAGACCCCGUGAACCUUUACUAUAGCUUGACACUGAACAUUGAGCCUUGAUGUGUAGGAUAGGUGGGAGGCUUUGAAGUGUGGACGCCAGUCUGCAUGGAGCCGACCUUGAAAUACCACCCUUUAAUGUUUGAUGUUCUAACGUUGGCCCCUAAUCGGGGUUGCGGACAGUGUCUGGUGGGUAGUUUGACUGGGGCGGUCUCCUCCUAAAGAGUAACGGAGGAGCACGAAGGUUGGCUAAUCCUGGUCGGACAUCAGGAGGUUAGUGCAAUGGCAUAAGCCAGCUUGACUGCGAGCGUGACGGCGCGAGCAGGUGCGAAAGCAGGUCAUAGUGAUCCGGUGGUUCUGAAUGGAAGGGCCAUCGCUCAACGGAUAAAAGGUACUCCGGGGAUAACAGGCUGAUACCGCCCAAGAGUUCAUAUCGACGGCGGUGUUUGGCACCUCGAUGUCGGCUCAUCACAUCCUGGGGCUGAAGUAGGUCCCAAGGGUAUGGCUGUUCGCCAUUUAAAGUGGUACGCGAGCUGGGUUUAGAACGUCGUGAGACAGUUCGGUCCCUAUCUGCCGUGGGCGCUGGAGAACUGAGGGGGGCUGCUCCUAGUACGAGAGGACCGGAGUGGACGCAUCACUGGUGUUCGGGUUGUCAUGCCAAUGGCACUGCCCGGUAGCUAAAUGCGGAAGAGAUAAGUGCUGAAAGCAUCUAAGCACGAAACUUGCCCCGAGAUGAGUUCUCCCUGACUCCUUGAGAGUCCUGAAGGAACGUUGAAGACGACGACGUUGAUAGGCCGGGUGUGUAAGCGCAGCGAUGCGUUGAGCUAACCGGUACUAAUGAACCGUGAGGCUUAACCUU